rnacentral:misc_RNA from 1 species
UCAAAAAAAAAAAAAAAAAAUACUGAGCUUUCCCUUGAGUUAGAUAACUCGUUUAAGUCUUAAGAGUACAGUAAGGAAAAACAAUUGAGGGUGAGGGAAAGAGAAGUGGAGGAAGAUGGGAAGUCCAAGAAGCUAAGGAAACCAUCUUCUGGUGGAUAUAAAGGUGAUGUCAUAUGUUACAAGUUCAGUACUAACUUAUAAAAGCAACAUGCGUGCGCACCAUUCAGAAUGAUUUAAUUCAGACAUCAUCAGCGUAAAAAUGUCCAUCUUUACAGUUAAACAGAAAUUAUUUCAUAACAGACUGAGGAAGAAGAAACUAUGGACUAUAAUCAAUGUUUUCAUCAUGCUUGCAUGCUCUCAAAUAAGCUUACACCACUUAUGUGAUGAUAAAUAUAGUGCGGUAAAGCAUGUUAACAUAUGAAGGAGAUGAUGCAAGUGUUGAAUUAUAUAUGCAACAAAAAUGUAAAACAAACAUUGGUAAGAUUGCUACCAAAUGUAUUUUGAGCCAGGAAAACACAGCUGACAAUACAGAUGAAAUCAGAGCACUUAAAAAUCAUAUACGUGUGACAUUUCCCAGCUGAAAUCAUCAGCUGUUUCAAUUAAUUUCUUACCUUGUGCCAAGGACAACAAACAAGAUACAGAAAGUAAAAUGUAGGUUAUCUCUUUCUUGAACGUGCAGAU